AGCUCGGCCCCCCACCCGGGCCGCCCCCUGCCCGACGACCCCCCGGGCUCGGUGCAGCUGAGACCCGCCGUCCCCGGGAAGGUCGGGACGGGCGCGCCGAGCCCCACACCGGCAUCGGGGUCGGGACUCAGGAGGACCCCCACAGGACCGUGUCAGCCCGGUACACCCUUUCGAGUGAGCCCUACAGCGUCUGCUGCAACGCUGGCAUUUGGUUACACCACACUUCUGCCCCCAAGCACCUCGAGCACCUGACUUCUGCGUCCGGCCCAGAAGCUGAGCUGGCCAGAACCGUAGAUCUCAACCAGAGACCACACGGCCCAUUUCCGUGAGACGCUGGCCCACCGCUGAGAAACACACCUAUGCACGUAUGUACAUGCACGCGCACCUGUGUAUUCACACCUGAAUGAGAGCACAAGACGUGAGCUGGCUUUUACAAACCACGCGGGGCCAUCAGUCAGCACGUCCUGGCUGCUCCAAGUGCUCCCUUGCAAAGCCCCAGACAUGAGAGUGGGGACUGCCCUCCCUCAACAGCCCUCCAGGUGACCCGUAGUAUUCUAGCCCAGAUCGCAUCUGCUUCUCUCUUCAGCUUUACGGAGAGGUGCUACUGCUCUCAACCUCUGGAUUGAAAAUGCUGGACAUUUUAAGAAUUAAGUUGUAAUUCUUUCUGCUGAAAGGAGGGGCAGGAAUCUUUUUUGGAAUCAUACAUUGUCUGAGCUCGAAUGGCCCGAGGAUCAUUUGGUCAGAUUCCUGGUGAGGAAGAGAAGGCUCCUGAGAGGAAGCAGUGGGGCUAGGGGAGGCGGUGGUGAGUGAGCACGUGGCAGAAAGCAGACUUGACCUCAGUCUCCAGAUCGGAUCCCACAGUUCUUCCCUGGACUCGGUCACCUGCCGUGGUGGGGAAUCCUCGUGCAGCAGAAACUACCCUCUUCAUGGAUCUAACUCACGUGUUCUAACUGGAGUUGGGGUCCUCUGGCCCCCCCAGGUGUUCCUCUACCAACGUCUAAGCCAACCAGCUCAUGGUGAUGACUCGUGCAAAGGGGGCCCCCUAGAGGCUAAAAUCCUUCACUAUAGGCAGUACUCCCUCUCCGCUCACCCUGCUGUGGCAGCUGGGGUGGGUCUGGUGAAGGCACACAGAAAUCUCUGCACUGAGGAGUUGUAAGGGUCCUAAAGAGUCAUUUGUUGUUGUUGUUGUUUUAAGAUUAUUUAUUUGAGAGAGAGAGAAAGCAAGAGAUGGAGUACGAGUGGAGGGGGAGGGGCUAAGGGAGAGGGAGAAGCAGAUUCCCUGCUGAGGAUCAUGACAGCAGAACACAGAUGCUUAACUGACUGAGCCACCCAGGCACCCAAGAGUCAUGUUUUAACCUCUCUGUUGUACAGAUGGGAACAGAGACACUGAUUUGCCCAAGGUCACAACUAGCAGAGUCAAGAUUGGAAUUCAGGUCUUUCAGGUUUCUAGUGCAGUGCUCUUCCUACUGGACCUUGAUUCACCCCUCCCGAUCAAGUUUAGCCUCACUUGGGUCCACCAGAGUCCCCCCAUCACCCUAAGUGUGCAGGCUUCAUCUAAAAUGGAGCUGGGGGGGGUGGGCAACGGUGCUUUGGAGAGAGGAACUAGUAGGAUCAGGCCUCUUUCUUUGAGGACAUCAGGGGUUCUUGGGGGAUUCCUGCAAGGGGGGGCAGAGCCCUCCAGGAACCUCAGAGUAGUGGUACAGAGCUAGUUUUGGCUUGCCCCGUGACUGACUAGCUGGGUGAUUUUGCACUAGUCAUUCAGCUUCUCUGAGCCCCAAUCUCCUCACCUGUACAAUGAGUAUAAUCAUCAUUAUUAUGGUUCCUGCCUCACAGGGUUGUUGCGAGGAAUAAAUGAAAUAAUAACAUGUGGAAGCCCUCAGCUCUGACAGUGGUUAUUAUCUCUUCCCCCAACCCCUGCCAGGCUCUGA